UGGGGGAUAUUGCACAAUGGGCGAAAGCCUGAUGCAGCGACGCCGCGUGGGGGAUGAAGGCCUUCGGGUUGUAAACUUCUUUUGCUCUGAACAAGGCAUGCCUUUGGGGUGUGUUGAGUGUAGGGGUCGAUUAGCGCCGGCUAACUACGUGCCAGCAGCCGCGGUAAUACGUAGGGCGCGAGCGUUGUCCGGAAUUAUUGGGCGUAAAGGGCUUGUAGGUGGCUGGUUGCAUCUGUCGUGAAAGCUCAUGGCUUAACUGUGGGUUUGCGGUGGGUACGGGGUGACAUGAGUGCAGUGGAGGAGGCUGGAAUUCCUGGUGUAGCGGUGGAAUGCGCAGAUAUCAAGAGGAAUACCGGUGGCGAAGGCGGGUCUCUGGGCUGUUACUGACGCUGAGGAGCGAAAGCGUGGGGAGCGAACAGG
rnacentral:rRNA from 1 species